AGCCCCGACUCUCAUCUCAGCCCCGACACCACCACUACCGUUGGCCACCGCCACCGCCGCAGAAGCUAUGUCUCUUUGUCACCACCACCGAACCCACUGCCACAACCAGCGAUUGUCAAUCUCGCGCUCAAAUAUGUUAGAUCUGAACUCUGAUCUGAAUUCAAGUUGAAGGAGGUGAUGAAAGUUGUUGUGUGGUUUGUAUGAGAAUUGGAGAAACAAUGGAUUUGAUUUUUUAUGUGGUUAAAUUUAACUUGUGUAUGUUUUAUGAAAUCAUCCUGAGUUUGUUAUUCUGUUUUACGUAUUACUGGUUUACCUCUACAAACUUAUAUUUUCAUGGACCCUAUUUAUUACCAGAAGCUGAAACACAUGGUGAGCCUUAAAUACUCUAUAGCUUAUGUUUUAAUUUAUGCAAUGCGUUUGUAGGCAUGAUGUAUGGGUCUCGUGUCAUUCUCCAUGUUUGUUUGAUAACCCUGUUGAAUGCUUUUGGUGUUUAAUAUGUUGUGUAUGAAUUCACUGAUCUUCAUUUUUAGAGCACUACUUCACUUCUUUAUGGCAGCAGCAGCUACUUGGGUCAAAUAGCUAUUUAUUGUAACAAUUUCUAAUAGGCUGCUCUUGAUUUUACAGGAAGUUUUACACUUUGAUUCUUUAACUCACAAUUCAUUUUAUACCUUUAACUCACAAAGUUUCACGCUUUGAUUCUUUCACACUUUGAUUCUUUAACUCACAUUUUAUUAUUAGUAUUAAUUAUUUAUUUUUUUUCCUUUUGUUAUUUAACAGGAAUUCAAGUUGAAAAUUGGAUGAUGAAAGUUGUUGUGUGGUUUGUAUGAGAAUUGGAGAAACAAUGGAUUUGAUUUUUCAUGUUGUAAUGGAAUUUUUUUUUUUUUUUUAAAUUUUGGGUAACCUAUCCCUUGCGGGUUGUGCUUGGGACUAAUUAUUCUUUUUGCAACUUGUUGAAUUU